AGCCUGGGAGACAGAGAGAGGCUCCGUCUCAAUAAAUAGACAGACAGACAGACAGACAGACAGAUAGAUAAAUGCUAUCUAAGACUUUCAUUGCUAGAGAGAAGUCAAUGCCUGGUUUCAAAUCUUCGAAGGACAUGCUGACUCUCUUGUUAGAGGCUAAUGCAGCUGGUGACUUUAAGUUGAAUCCAAUGCUCACAUCCCAUUGCAAAAAUCACAGGGCCCUUAAAAAUUAUGCAAUAUCUACUCUACCUGUGCUGUAAAAAUGGAACAACAAAGCCUAGAUGACAGUACAUCUGUUUAGAACACUGUUUACUGAGUAUUUUAAGACCCGCUGCUCAGGAAAAAAGAUUUAUUUCAAAAUAUUAUUGCUCAUUUACAAUGCACGUGGUCACUCAACAGUUCUAAUGGCAAGGUACAAAGUUAAACAGGAAAAAGAGAAGACACAAAAGUGUUAAAAAUCCUAAUAAUUAGACAUGUCUGGAUUAACAAAUCUGUAAACUUUCUCCAACUCUCUCAAAGAGUCAAUCACUCCCUCUACAGUGCUUAUAUAACACUUUACAUAAUUUAUAUUCCUACUCUAGCAUUUAUCGUAUCAUAUUAUUUAUAUGUAUCUCAUCAAUUACAAUUAUUUCCUCUAAGACGACAACCAUGCCUUAUUCAUUUUUAUAUUCCCAGAAAAGUAUAAGAAACAUACCAGCUGAUAACACUUGUUUUAUGAAUAGGUUAAAUUUAUACACUUCAAAGACCAAAAUAAUUUCUAUUAGAGAAAUUUUGAUCUUUCUAAGAUCAUUUCAGCACAGAAAAUUUCAAAAGAUUUGAAUUAAAUUAGCCAACUAAUACAAAUACCAAAUCCAAAUUCGCUUUACAGCGAAUGGAACUUGAAAGGCUAAUUUCCUCACCCAUAAUCAAGAAACCACACUCCACAGACCUAAUAUAAAGACAAACACUAAACACUUACCGCCCAUAGUCUUUAUAUAAAGUGUACCCUGCCAUAUCAGAGAAUUUCUGGUCAUGCAAAAACAAAAGUGGGAUUAAAGGAGGAAAUCUUUACAAAUGAUGCCUUCCUUUUUGUUUAUCCCAGCACACCUUAUUAAGGCCAACAGAUCUUAAGAUAUAACAAUCAGAAUUAUAGUAUAUUAGUUUAGUUUUAAUUACCUAGGCUCCAGUUCUGUUUCUAUACUUCAAGCCCAUUUGGCUCUCCAGAGAGCAAGUAUCAUUACAUUAUGCAGGGUCACAAAGAAAACUCUAAUUUAGAGGAAAACAAUUCUAUAAUUAUUAAUAAUAGUUCCUAUGACCUUCCCAGUUUUUCUAAGUUUCCUACAAGAUGAUCAGAAUUCUCAAGGUAGUGAAUGAAAAAUAAAUGACUAUUUUUAAAAAGAUAAGCAACAUUGCCCCCAUGUUUUAAAAAGGGUCCUAAUUAUUUUAGUACAUUUAUAUUAUUCUCUCCAGUAUUAGCAUCUGAGAACUUUUUAAAUGUCCCAUAUUUCAUUAAAUGCACACUUGGAUGUACACAUUUCCAUUUUAAAAUGCACUAUAGGCUAUCAAUGAGGUGACUAAGUGGCAUUUUACUAAGUAAUGUCCCCCACAGUACCUGACACAUUAUAUACAAAUAAUAAACAUUUGAUUAAGUCUACAAAUAUUUAAGCUUCUUAUUACAUAGCAGACACUACUCUAAGCAAAGGCUAUUACACUAUGGUAAACCCAACAUAUAUGGCCCUUGCCUUCACAGAGUCUUCAGUCUUGGAAAAAGAAAAUCACCCUGUUCACUUCCUUCACUCUACCUGCCACACUUGGCAGGUAGAGGAACACCUCCCACACCACUUUGAGGUUGGGCAUCUUCUUAACUAAAGUAGACAUUGCUAGCAUACACCUGCCAAAAGUAAAAUCUAAUUACCUUUGGCUACUAUGAAUUGAAGAAAUAAAUAAAGAGACUAGGUCUUAGUCUGGGAAUAUGAGUUUCUAAAUCCAUAGUUUACAAGGGAUUAACAUUGUAGAGUUUCAUGAAACUUCUGUAUUAGCAGAGACUCUAGGCAAGAACAGCUACCAUAAGACUUCAUUUUUAAAUUUUAUAUGGAAGAUCCCAGGCAAAGAUCAACCUGCAAAGAUUAAUCUGGGAAGCCCCAGUUUGUCUGGGAUAUUCUGAAAGUACUCUGGAGGUUAAUUUCCUGAGCUUAAAAGUGUUUUGUUUUUGUUUUAAUUUACAAAAAAAAAAAAAAAAAAUGCU